rnacentral:rRNA from 1 species
UACGUAGGGUGCAAGCGUUGUCCGGAAUUAUUGGGCGUAAAGAGCUCGUAGGCGGUUCGUCGCGUCGGCUGUGAAAACCUGAGGCUCAACCUCAGGCCUGCAGUCGAAACUGCGUGGCUGGAGUACGGUAGGGGCAGAGGGAAUUCCCGGUGUAGCGGUGAAAUGCGUAGAUAUCGGGAAGAACACCAAAGGCGAAAGCGCUCUGCUGGGCCGAAACUGACACUGAGAGACGAAAGCUAGGGGAGCGAAUGGGAUUAGGAAAACCCUUGU